UAUUAAUUUUUUAAUUACAAAUUAUAAUUCUGUACAUAAGGAUAAAAUUGUAAUUUAAAACAAUUUACUCCCAAUCCAAGACAAAGUAAACAAAUAAUUAGGAUUCUGAUUCACAAUCCAUACUUUUAUUUAGUCUAAGUAAACACCCUACUCUCACUCCCACUCCACACUCCUAAUCCAAGGAUUCCCACUCCUCAGGAUUCCCACUCCAAUCCAAAAAGUAAACGCAGCAUUAAUUCAUAAUUCUCACUUCGCAUAAACCCACUUAGUCACAUUUAUACAGAUACAUAAUGAGAGGGACGAACACGCUAUUGUAGUAGUAAAGAAAGGGCACUCCUGCAUCAAAUCAAAACGCAUAAACGAAAUUAUGGUAAUUAGCUAGAGAGGCAUACUUUAUUUAUAACAAAAAUUGGAGUUGAUGAAAAAAAAAAUCAUAAGAUUUUUGGUAACUUAUAUCAAGGGAAUACAAUCACAGACUUGCAAAGGUGGAGGUUGGCUUCGCAAGUCACUAUGCAGUAUGCACCACCCCACAAACCCUCACAGCCUAACUUUUUAAUGUUCCAAUAACAAAUUGACUAUCACAGCAUAUAGGAGUGGGUGAACUCAAUCCAAUCCAAUGAAUCCAAUUUAAUUAAAUUUAUAUAGAUUGAUUGGAUUGAUUUUUUUAGUUGGAUUAAUUUUUUAAAUGAAUCCAACCCCAUCCAAAUCAAGAAUAAUAAAAACAAUAGGCAAAAAUAAUGUCAGCUAUUAGCUGUGAAGCCCUAAAGAGGUAAAUCUAAUUUUAGAUUAUUUUUAUUCUUUUAUAAAAGAGAUUCUUUUCAAUUUCUCUCUAUUAACCUAAUAUUGAUUAAAUUUUCUAAAUACAAAAAUUAGAAAUUAAACCACGAAUUUUCACUAAAAAGUAAGUCAACUUGUAUUUAAAUAUAACAUCAUGUUGUUUAUUAAUAAACGAUGGGCACCAAUGGACAACAUUUAAUGUUAUGAUGGAGAAUUAAUGUGUUUUUUUUUUAAUUAUGUGAAUUUUAUUUAAAACAAUGAAUAUUUUUCAACUUUUGUAUUUGAAUUUUCUAAAUUUUUAAUUUUUAUCAACCUAAUUAACCCAACCCGAUGAUUUAAGAGUUAGAUUAGAUUGAGUUGGAUAUGUUUAUUUGGUUGGGUUGAGUUAAUUUUUCUCAACCCAAUCAAGUGUAGUGAUAUUUGACUCUACAACUUUUAUUAACAACCCUCACUUUCUAAUUAAUGUUAUUUAUUUGCAAAAUUACACUUUUAAGAAUUAAAAAUAAAUAUUUAUUUUUUAAUUUUUUUUUCUUUUCUCUUUCAUAUGCAUUUUUUUUUUCUAGUAUAGCAAUCAACAUCAUACCCAUUAAACUGAAUUUUAUUAUUUUAACGGGAAAAACAUCUAAUUUAGCAAUAUAUAACACUCUUCCCGGGAAAAAUAGGCAGAUCAUGAUAUCUAAAGGAACCGGGAAAAAAAUAAUAAUAAUAACCUCUGAAGAGAGCAAGUGAAUAAAGCAAAGUCAAUUUAGCAAGAAAGCAAAAUAAAACCAGUUUCAGCCCAAAAGACCAGAUCUUCACUCUAAACAUUAACUGACAUAAGCCCAUAUCAACUAUUAGCAGUAAAGCCCGUUGACCAAAGCAAUCAUUCAAAUCAGCAAAUAAAAAUUCGAAAUACAAGCAAUUCAGAAGGUGAGCAAAUUAGUGAAGCAUUCACAACACAAUUUCCACAACGCAAUCUCAUUUCUGAUGAAUGUAUCCACAUCAAGAAUACCCAGAUCAAAAAUCAGAACAUUAAACAACAAAACACAUUCCACAUAAACGAAAUCACCUAAUGAUGACAUGGGUAUAGUGGUGAUUCUAGAAAAAGGGAGAAAAAGAAAAAGUUAAAAAAAUUAAUAUUUGUUUUUAAUUUUAAUGAGAAAAAUUUUGAAAAUAAAUGAGAUUAAUUGAAAAUUGGGCAGUGUUGAGAUAAAUAGAGAAGAGCAAUUAUCAUAACUCCCUAAUUCAAUAAUGGGUUGUUCGGAUUUUUACAAAUCUAAUUCAACGACAAACUUGAAACUUGAGAAAAAUUAAAAAGAGUGAUGAAAUGAAAAGUGAGUGUGUUUUGUUUAAUGUAUAUAAAUUUUAUUUAGAUUUAGUUUCGUCUGAUAUCUAAAAUAAACUUAUUAUUAAUUGAGAAAAAAAUUGUAUGUACCACAAAUAUCUAGAAAAAAUGAAAUUUGAUAUGGUCAUUUGUCAAUUAAUUUUUUAUACCAUUAUCAAUUGUUAGAAAAAAAAAAUUGUUUUUAUUAAACUUUUCUCAUUCAUUGGGCCUUCUUUUAGCAUUGAUGUUGUAUGUGGAUAAAAACGAAUAGUUUUGUUAUUGUGAAUAGAUACAUUUCAUUACUUUUUGACAUUCAUAUGAUAAAUAUUUCAAAAACAUUAAACAAAAUGACUAUCUGGAAAGCAACGAAAACAACAAUGAUAGUAGUAAAUUCUUUUAAAAAUUAAUAUUUUAUCAUAGGCAUCACAUUUUUUUU
rnacentral:lncRNA from 1 species